rnacentral:lncRNA from 1 species
CAGAACACAGCAGGCCCCUGGUGAUAGAGACAGAACACAGCAGGCCCCUGGUGAUAGAGACAGAACACAGCAGGCCCCUGGUGAUAGAGACAGAAGACAACAGGCCCCUGGUGAUAGAGACAGAACACAGCAGGUCCCUGGUGAUAGAGACAGAAGACAACAGGCCCCUGGUGAUAGAGACAGAACACAGCAGGCCCCUGGUGAUAGAGACAGAACACAACAGGCCCCUGGUGAUAGAGACAGAAGACAGCAGGCCCCUGGUGAUAGAGACAGAAGACAGCAGGCCCCUGGUGAUAGAGACAGAAGACAGCAGGCCCCUGGUGAUAGAGACAGAAGACAGCAGGUCCCUGGUGAUAGAGACAGAAGACAGCAGGUCCCUGGUGAUAGAGACAGAAAACAGCAGGUCCCUGGUGAUAGAGACAGAUUAGCUCAUCAGCUACACAGGUAAGAUCAGACACAACCUGACUGCCUCAACUGUUAGAACGUCUUUGAUUGCAUUGUGCUUAAUAACUGUUGUGUUUUACGUGGUUGUUACAACUGCUUUACAUGUGUGCUAAUACAUGUGAUUUACGAAUGUUUAUAACUGGUCUAAAACAUGUCUUAUGGAUGUUUAUAACUGGUCUAAAACAUGUCUUAUGGAUGUUUAUAACUGGUCUAAAACAUAUCUUAUGG